CAAAUCUCCAGAAUGUUUUCCCCUUUUCUGUAGUUUUUAUUCUCUUUUCCAUUUCCACUUGUGAUUUUUCUGAGCCCGAGGACAUUUUGGGAGGGAUAUAAAAGGAUCUAAAACCUAGACAAUAGAGCAAACGCCUGCUUUUGUUAAGUUGCUUUACCUGCCAUGUUAUUUGGUUUCCGGCUUUUAGCUAUGACUGCUGAGGGUGGAUUACAAAAGCACUAACUCAGAGGACCUUCUCACUUACACCAGGAGGCUCCAUCUCCCGGGAAGAGGGAGGCCAGACCAAUUUACACGGGAACCUGGCUUGAGUCUGAGUUCUGGGGUCAGGACCCUUAUCCUGCCCCACCUGGAGGCUUGCAGGACUGGAAGUACUUGCGGUUUGGGGCCACAACCUGGGGUGCGUGGUUUGGGGGUGGCGUUAGGCUAGAGGGGGAGGCUGGUCUGGUAAACUCCGUCAGCAGAGUUUGGAUUUGGACCCGAGGGCGAUGGGAAACCAGAUCCGAGCCUUAAACUAGGGGGUGACAGAUCAGAGCUAGGGUUUUAGAAGUUCUUCCAGGGGCUGGCCCCGUGGCCGAGUGGUUAAGUUCGCGCGCUCCGCUGCAGGCGGCCCAGUGUUUCGUUGGUUCGAAUCCUGGGCGUGGACAUGGCACUGCUCAUCAAACCACGUUGCGGCGGCAGCCCACAUGCCACAACUAGAAGGACCCACACGAAGAAUAUACAACUAUGUACUGGGGGGCUUUGGGGAGAAAAAGGAAAAAUAAAAUCUUUAAAAAAAAAAAAGAAGUUCUUCCAACUGUGCUUUGGAGAAGUUUGGGCAAGGCCAGCUGGGAGAUGGGACCAGGGUGGGGUUGGAGAGAAGUGGGUGAUUACGAGAGCUAUCCGAGGAGUGAUAGAGGGGUAUCUGUGAUGGCUCUGUUCCCGGCCCAGGCAACCAGGUGGAUGGAGAUGUCUCUCUUCAUCCUAAGCUGGUUUUGUGACUACCUUCGACAGUCACUGGCUCCUGCUCCAGGGCACCCGGCCCAGGGUAACUAGGUCUCCCCCGGGCCGAGAUGCACACGGAGCCAUGCUAGGGCCAGACCGGCCUUUGGGGCCCCUGCUUCCUCCUUGGGAGGAGGGGCUCCUAUAUCUAUGACAACCACACACCUCCUGCACGUUCCCUGGGCAUUUCCAUUUCAAAUACUCUGUCCUUUUGUUUGCACAGGUUCCUGUGUCAUAUUCGGGGUUCCCAUUUUUAAUUGGGAAAUAGACUGCACGUUAUUCUACCCACAGGCCUGGGUUGGGGCCAUGGAGCUCCGGUGACCAUGACCACUUCCCCAUGUGGGCAGCAGAAGUGGGGCAGCGGGGUGAGAAGGCGCGGGACUCAGGGCCAGAACAGCGGCUCCAGACAGCAGAGCAGCCUGCAUGCAGUGACUGUGAGUAUUGAAUCUCCUUGUUGGGGGGCGCAGGAGAGAAGCAGGUGCUCCCCGCGGGCUCUCUGCGUGGAGAGGCGGGAAGAGCACCAACCGGGUAGCCGGCCCUGCGGGAGAGCAGCGGGGAGCAGCGCAGGGAUUCUGAACUUUUCGGAGCUCAAGUUCCUCGCUUCAAAGUGGAAGGUAAGGACCCCUCUGCAGAGGUGUCUGAGCAUUAAUUGAGAUACGACGCGGAGAGCACGGCCAGGGCCGGCCGGCCGCUCAGCACGCGUUAGCUGCCGUCCCAUCAGGGUGCGCGACGAGGAAAGAGAGACGCGAUCCCAGACGUGCCCGAUUCCAGAAAAAACGUAAGGGCCCCGCCGCCCCUCGAAUCCUGGAGGGGAGCGCUGCUCCUCCCUGGGAGCGCAUCGCAGGGCGAGCUCAGGCUGUGAACGUCCGACGGGCACACUAGCCCUUUCCUGUAGAUAUCAUCCUACUUCCGUUUUUAGGACUUGCAGGAGAAGAAGAGCCCGCACCGGCCACCUUGGGGGUUCACGCUUUUAAGCAGGAAGCGCGCGCAGCACACAGUCCCUUUAAGGCGUUGGGCCUGCCCGAGGCAUUCUGCUCCUCGCCGCUCCCCGUAGCGCCCCUCCGAGAGGCCGGCUUUGUGCUUUCGCUCCGCCCCG
rnacentral:lncRNA from 1 species